CCUGAUGUAUCAAUAUGGAGUGCUUCGGCGCUCCGGUGGGCAGGAAACGGAAACCGGUGCGAAUCCGGUACAGGCGCGCUGCCGUGAUCGGGCUGCAAGGGCUGCGUCCACUGGUGCCAAGGCACCGGGAAGGGCCGCCCUGUCGAGUGGGCUUCAAUUUCGCAUGGUGCGACCGCUCGGCAUCAUCUCUUCGCCCGUCAGUCGGAAGACGUCCCCCACCCUUGUUGAGGCCG
rnacentral:ncRNA from 20 species